rnacentral:rRNA from 1 species
AUCGGGGCAGGGUGAGUCGACCCCUAAGGCGAGGCCGAAAGGCGUAGUCGAUGGGAAACAGGUUAAUAUUCCUGUACUUGGUGUUACUGCGAAGGGGGGACGGAGAAGGCUAUGUUGGCCGGGCGACGGUUGUCCCGGUUUAAGCGUGUAGGCUGGUUUUCCAGGCAAAUCCGGAAAAUCAAGGCUGAGGCGUGAUGACGAGGCACUACGGUGCUGAAGCAACAAAUGCCCUGCUUCCAGGAAAAGCCUCUAAGCAUCAGGUAACAUCAAAUCGUACCCCAAACCGACACAGGUGGUCAGGUAGAGAAUACCAAGGCGCUUGAGAGAACUCGGGUGAAGGAACUAGGCAAAAUGGUGCCGUAACUUCGGGAGAAGGCACGCUGAUAUGUAGGUGAAGUCCCUCGCGGAUGGAGCUGAAAUCAGUCGAAGAUACCAGCUGGCUGCAACUGUUUAUUAAAAACACAGCACUGUGCAAACACGAAAGUGGACGUAUACGGUGUGACGCCUGCCCGGUGC